UGAGGAGUUGUGACUUAUUUUAUUGUUUAAUGAAAUAAGAUUUGAAAAUAAAAUAAAUAUUGAGUUUCGGGGUUGUUUUGAGAUUUUAGAGAGUUUUGGGGGAGAAAGAGAAAUAAGAUAAGAUAGAUGGUGGAGAUAUAAAUAGGGAAACCUAGUUUAGAGAAAAACAUAACGUACGAUCAAUUUUGGAGAAAAGGGAGAAAAAGCCAAGAGAAGAGCAAGAGAGACCUAGAGGCUGCGAUUUUGAUCUAUAAGGUAAGGGUGAGACUAACUUACAAUUCUAUUAAUCUAUAUAAUUCUGAUGAUCAUAUUUAGCAAGUGUAGGAUUGAAUUAGAGAAAUCGAAGAAUUAGGGUUAAUGAUAGAAUUUGAUGAUUAAACAGUGAAAAGUUGUUAGAUUGAUGUAGAAACUAUUCCUAGACCUUUGAUAAUGUAUAAGAUGAAUUAUGGAAUCAAUGUUAGGCUUAAAACCAUGAGAAUUAGUGAUUUUUAUGAAAAACUGCACUUCUGCCCGUAGCGACAUUCUUCGCUCGCCUCCCGAGCUAUGAUCCUCGCCACGGCGAGUGAUGAACUUCAUCGCUCGCCUCUCGAGCAAACCUUACCUGCCUCGCGAGUUGCACGUCGCAGCUUGCCAUAGCGAGCAGAUGAACUCGCCUAGCGAGCUUGACCAGAGAGCUUGCAAGAUUUCGUGAUUUUCACUUUUGAGUUGAUCCUUAGAUGCUUCUGAGUGCCUGGACAUGUCUAAUAAUGAUUAGGAAAGAAUGUAGGAUGAGAUUGAACCUGGAAAGAUUUUAGAAUGAAACUUUUGGAAGUCUUACCUGAACUCGCCACGGCGAGCAAAGGCUCUCGCCUCGCGUGUGACCCAGAAACAGAGUGCCUUGUCAGGAUUUUGCGAUCUGUGUCAUACAAGUUGUUAAGAGUUGAACCUUGGGGUAGUAUUGAGACUUAAUGAUGAUGUUAAUUAUAACCUAUGAAGCUGUUUUAGAUGUGUUGAUGUUUAUUAUGAUGUGAUAUAAUGUUAAACGCAUUACUUGAAUUAUGAAUGUAUGUAACGCCCUCUUUGAAUUAUUUGAUUUAUUUAAUUAUUUAAUUGAGUCUAAAAUUUAUUAAGAAGAGUUUAAAAUAUAUUUAUUUGAUUAUGUGAUUUAUUAAGUGGCUUAUGUUGUUAUUUAAUAGAUUAAGAUUUGAAAAUAGAAAUAAGAUUGAGUUGAGAGUUUGUUAUGAGAUUUUAGAGAGUUUUGGGGGAGAAAGAGAAAUAAGAUAAAAUAGAAAAAAGGGUUAUAAAUAGGAGAACCUUAGUUAAGAAAAAACAUAACGUACGAUCAAUUUUGGAGAAAAGGGAGAAAAAGCCGAGAGGAGGGGGAAGACCUAGGAGUGCUGCGAUUUCAUCUAUAAGGUAAGGGUGAGACUAACAUUCAAUAAUCUUAAGUCAUUGAUUUUGAAAAUUGGAUUUAACAUGUUGUAGGUUUUAGUUUUUGAGAAUUUGGGAAUUAGGGUUAAAAGUGAUUAUUUGAUGAUUUUCUAAAAUAAUGUUUUGGGUCAAGUUUUAUAUGGUUUUGAGUCUCUUUUGAUGUAUAUAAAUGUUUAGACAAACUUUGGCAUCAAAUUUGGGCAUAGGGAGGUUAAAAUUGGGAUUUUGGGGUGAAAAGUGUGUUUUUCCCGAGUUGCUCUGUGACAGCAUGUCUUUGUUUCAUGUUCUUGCAUCUUUUUCACACGUGUCUGUUUUGAAUUAUCCUUUGGUGUAAACAUGAAAGUUGUAGAUAAUUGUGUUAGCUUUCCAGUGGCGUCAGUUUGACUUGAAAAUGAUUUUCGGUUUAUGAGUUAUGGUCAAAUUACUGCACGUAGGUCACAGUGAAUUUUUAUGAAUUUCAGCACAACUUUGUCCGAAUUUGAAAUUAAAACUGGUAUUGACUGGUACAUAAUUGGUCUUAGGUGUAAACACGAAAGUUGUAGGUAUAAAUGUUAGCUUUCUAAUGCCGUUGGUUUGACUUCAAAAGGAUUUAUAGAACUAGAGUUAUAGUCAAAUUACUGCACGUAGGUCACAGUGAAUAAUUGAAUAUGAUUGAUGAAUUAGUAUAUGAAUGUAUAUGUUGUGAAUACGAUAUUGUCCAUGAUUGAUGAAGUGUUAUAUGUACAUAUGAUGUUUUAAGAUGUUGAUUAUUAUUUGAUGUUGUUAUACUGUGAUAUAAUUGUAUAUGCAUUACUUGAAUUAUAUGUGAAUAAUUGAGACGUUGUUGACUUGCAUUUGAUAUUAUUAUGUCAUGCUGUUUUUGUAUACUGUUGUGUUGCUGUUGUUAUUUAACUAAGCUGCAUGAGUCGGUCUAAGUUGAUUAAGAUGAUGAAGUUCCAAAUUAUUGGAUUAUAUAAGAGGUUGUCGAUUUAAGAUAUUACGAGGUCGAGUCCAUGCAUUAGCAUUUCAUUGUUGGGGGCUUGAUGCCCUGGAGCCUUUGCUCAAUUAAGUUGAGGGCUUGAUGCCCUGGGAGCCUUUUUACGCUCAAAUAAAGUUGAGGGCUUGAUGCCCUGGAGCCUAUUUACGCUCAAAGAUUGGUACCACAUGCAUGAUUAGAAGAUUAAGUUGCAUAGUCAAGAGGUUAAGUUGUCAAGUUGUCGAGUUGUUAAGUUGUUAAAUCAUGAAAUUCUUUAAAGCUGUGAUUCUUUAUAUGAACUAUUAAAGAAGUGAAUUAUGAUAUAUUAUUAGCUAUGAUGAAUAUUAUGAUGAUUACAUGAUGUUGUCUAUGAGUUGUUAAAUAUGAUUGAUGAUGCUUAUGUUGUUAAAUGUAAUUGAUGAAUUAUAUGCUUAAUGUUAUUGUUUGUGAAAUCUCACCCCUUCUGUUUGCCCACCAUGGGUAACUAACAGGUAACCAAGAAUAGUUGAUGUCGUGUGAGCUUUCCUUCUCGUGUGUCUUAGGUGCUCUGAUACGUAACGGGAUGGGAACUUUGUUAUUGCUUUUCUAUUCCUUACGUAUUGUUUUUGAAGAUUUAUGGCUAUGUUUUUAGAUUAGAUUUUUAUGCGACAUUUAUGAAGAGGCCUUCGUGCCAAAGACUGUUUUAGUUAUUGAAAUAAAUUCCGCUGCGAAGUAUUAAAGAUCUUGUAUUUGAAUUUUAAAGGAUAAAUAGUUAUUUAUUCAGUUUAUGAUUUUAAGAAAAGAAUGUGACAUUCCGUUUAUGUUGAAAAACUCUGAUUAUUUAUGCGAAAUUUUUAUGUUGGGAAAACGGGGUGUUACAAUGUACACUAGAGAUGUUGUUUACUUGCAUUUGAUAUUAUUAUGUCAUGUUGUUUUUGUAUACUGCCUAUGUUGCUGUUGUUAUUUAACUAAGCUGCAUGAGUCGGUCUAAGUUGAUGAAGAUGAUGAAGUUCCAAAUUAUUGGAUUAUAUAAGAGGUUGUCGAUUUAAGAUGUUUAAGAGGUCGAGUCCAUGCAUUAGCAUUUCAUUGUUGGGGGCUUGAUGCCCUGGAGCCUUGUACUCAACACGAUGGAGCUUUAGCUCAAAUAGCGAUGGGGGCUUGAUGCCCUGGAAGUAUAUUAAUACUCAAAUAGCGAUGGGGGCUUGAUGCCCUGGAUUGGUACCACAUGCAUAUAAGAGGUCUAAGUUGCAUAGUCACAUUGUCGAGUCAAAGAUGAUAAGUUGCCAAGAUGUUGAGCUGUGUUCCAUUUAUGAACUAUUUAAGAAGUGAUAUGUGAUAUAUUAUUAUCCAUGAUGUUAUUAUGAUGUUUCCAAGUUGUUAAAUAUAAUUGUUGAAUUAUAUGCUUAGUAUUAUUGAUUUGUGAAAUCUCACCCCUUCUGCUUGGAAAUGUUGCUCUUCGUAUGAGUAACUUGCAGGUAAUCAAGAGUAGGUUGCUGGUGUUGCUGUCGUGAGUGAUUUAUUCCUCACUGAGUCUUAGGUUGCUCUGAUACGUAACGGGAGGGGAUCUUUAGUGGCUAUUUCUCUUUCCUUUACGUAUAUGCUAUUAUUCAUGACUAAGUUGCUUAACUGAAUUUAUGAGAUGGUUUUUAUGAGGCCUGCGUGCCAAGACUUUUUAUGAUGUUGAAUUUAAUUCCGCUGCUAAUAUGUUGAAAAUUUAUGUUGACGAGGAUAAUUAGUUAAUUAUCUCUUUUAUGACUUUAAGAAGUGUGAUAUCCCGUUAAUGUGAUGUUUUACUCUGAUUAUUGUUUGGAAUUUUUAUGUUGGGAAAACGGGGUGUUACAAUUGGUAUCAGAGCAGGUCGGUCCGUUCGGCCAAUUAGAUGAGUCGUGUCGAGUUUUAGUAAUAUUCGUAUUACUAUCUUAUGUUGUUGUUGCUUGUUGUUAAGAAACUAAGAGAUGGCUGGAAGAAACGAUGCUGCGAUUGCUGAUGCACUAGAAGCUGUAGCUCAAGCUGUUGGACAUCAGCCUGGUUCAAAUGCUGGUGCAAGUGCUGAAGCGAGGAUGCUAGAGACCUUUCUAAGGAAUCAUCCUCCUACUUUCAAGGGAAUAUAUGACCCUUAUGGAGCUCAGACGUGGCUCAAAGAGAUUGAGAGGGUUUUCCGCGUGAUGGAGUGUUCAGAGGUCUAGAAGGUGCGUUUUGGAACGCAUAUGCUUGCUGAGGAAGCUGAUGAUUGGUGGAUUAGUCUUCUGCCUACUUUAGAGCAAGAUGAUGCUGUGGUUACUUGGGCUGUGUUUAGGAGGGAGUUCCUAAAUAGAUACUUUCCGGAAGAUGUUCGCGGGAAGAAAGAGAUUGAGUUCCUUGAGCUGAACCAAGGAAACAUGUCAGUGACAGAGUAUGCUGCCAAGUUUGUGGAAUUGGCAAAGUUUUAUCCGCAUUACACUGCAGAGACUACUGAGUUUUCGAAAUGCAGGAUUUACGAGGAGGAUACCAAGACUCAUUACAAGAUUGUGAAUGAGCGAAAGGCCAAGGGUCAACAGAGUCGUCCUAAGCCUUACAGUGCCCCUGCUGAUAAGGGAAAACAGAGAGUGGUUGAUGAUAGGCGCCCGAGAAAGAAAGAUGCUCCUGCUGAGAUUGAAUUCUAUACUUGUGGUGAGAAAGGCCACAAGAGCAAUGCUUGUCCUGGGGAUGUUAAGAGAUGUUUUUGCUGUGGAAAGAAGGGUCAUGCACUAGCUGAGUGCAAACAUGAUGAUAUAGUAUGUUUUAAUUGCAAUGAAGAGGGUCACAUUGGUUCACAGUGCAAGAAGCCUAAGAAGGUGUCGGCUACUGGUAGAGUUUUUGCUUUGACUCGUACACAGAAAGAGAACGAGGAUCGCUUGAUCAGAGGUACUUGCUAUUUUGAUAGUACACCUUUAGUUGCCAUUAUUGAUACUGGUGCUACGCAUUGUUUUAUUGCUUUUGAUUGUGCUACUAAGUUGGGUCUUGUUAUGUCUAAUAUGAAUGGAGAGAUGGUUGUCGAAACUCCAACUAAGGGUUCGGUGACUACUUCUCUUGUGUGUUUAAUAUGUCCUUUCUAUGUUUGAUCCUGAUUUUGAGAUUGAUAUGGUUUGUUUACCUUUGAGUGGUAUGGAUUUAAUUCUUGGUAUGAACUGGUUAGAGUACAACCAUGUUCACAUUAAAUGUUUUAGUAAGUCGGUGUAUUUCUCUUCUGCUGAAGAGGAAAGUGGCGCAAAGUUUUUGUCUACUAAACAUUUGAAGUAGUUAGAACGUGAUGGUAUUUUGAUGUUUUCUUUGAUGGCUUCCUUAUCUAUUGAGAAUCAAGCAGUGAUCGAUAAACUACAAGUGGUAUGCGAUUUUCCAGAGGUUUUUCCUGAUGAAAUUCCUGAUGUGCCUCCAGAUAGAGAAGUUGAAUUUUCUAUUGAUCUUGUUCCUGGAACGAAGCAUGUGUCUAUGACACCUUAUCGUAUGUCAGCUUCUGAGUUGGCCGAGUUGAAGAAACAAUUAGAGGAUUUGCUUGAGAAAAAGUUUGUUAGACCAAGUGUUUCACCUUGGGGAGCGCCGGUUCUGUUAGUGAAGAAGAAAAAUGGUAUCAUGAGAUUGUGUAUUGACUAUCGACAGUUGAACAAGGUGACCAUAAAGAAUAGGUAUCCACUUCCGAGAAUUGAUGAUUUGAUGGAUCAGUUAGUGGGUGCAAGUGUUUUCAGCAAGAUAGAUUUGAGAUCGGGUUAUCACCAGAUUAAAGUAAAAGAUGAAGAUAUGUAGAAGACAAUUUUCAGAACGCGUUAUGGACAUUAUGAGUAUAAGGUGAUGCCGUUCGGUGUUACAAAUGCACCUGGAGUAUUUAUGGAGUACAUGAAUCGCAUCUUUCAUGCAUUUUUGGAUCGUUUCGUGGUUGUUUUCAUUGAUGAUAUUUUGAUUUACUACAAGUCUGAAGAAGAACAUGCUGAGCAUUUGAAGCUGGUUUUGCAAGUGUUGAAAGAGAAGAAGCUUUAUGCUAAAUUGUCUAAGUGUGAAUUCUGGUUGAAAGAAGUGAGCUUUCUUGGACAUGUUAUUUCUGGUAGUGGUAUUGCAGUAGAUCCGUCUAAAGUUGAUGCAGUAUCGCAAUGGGAGACUUCUAAGUCGGUUAUAGAGAUUAGAAGCUUUUUGGGAUUGGCUGGCUAUUACAGAAGAUUUAUAGAAGGAUUUUCCAAGUUAGCACUUCCAUUAACACAGUUGACUUGUAAAGGUAAAGCCUUUGUGUGGGAUGAUCGAUGUGAGAACAGUUUUAGUGAAUUGAAGAAGCGACUGACGACAGUUCCGGUUUUGAUUUUGCCAAAGUCAGAUGAACCUUUUGUGGUAUAUUAUGAUGCGUCCAAGCUGGGUUUAGGUGGUGUGCUUAUGCAAGAUGGUAAAGUGGUAGCUUAUGCUUCGAGACAAUUCAGAAUUCAUGAGAAGAAUUACCCUACGCACGAUUUAGAGUUGGCUGCUGUGGUCUUUGUAUUAAAGAUAUGGAGACAUUACUUGUAUGGUUCGAGAUUUGAGGUAUUUAGUGAGCAUAACAGUUUGAAGUAUUUGUUCGAUCAGAAGGAAUUGAACAUGAGACAUCGAAGGUGGCUUGAAUUGCUAAAAGAUUAUGAUUUUGAGUUGAGCUAUCAUCCGGGUAAAGCUAAUGUUGUUGCAGACGCUUUGAGUAGGAAGACCUUGGAUAUGUCUGCUAUGAUGGUAAAGGAGUUCGAGUUGCUUGAACAGUUCAGAGAUUCGAGUUGCUUUGAUAACGAAUUUCUAAAGAGUAUUAAAGAGGCACAGAAAGUUGAUGUUAAGUUUGUAGACUUGUUGGUUGCUAGUGAUCAGACUGAAGACAGUGAUUUUAAAAUCGAUGAUCAAGGUGUGUUGAGGUUUCGAGGUAGGAUUUGUAUUCCAGACGAUGAUGAGAUGAAGAAAAUGAUUCUUGAAGAGAGUCAUAGGAGUAACUUGAGUAUUCAUCCGGGAGCUACGGAGAUGUAUCAUGAUCUAAAGAAGUUGUUUUGGUGGUCUGGAUUGAAACGCGAUGUUGCACAAUUUGUGUAUUCUUGUUUGAUUUGUUAGAAAUCGAAAGUUGAGCAUCAGAAACCUGCUGGAAUGAUGGUGUCUUUAGAUGUGCCAGAGUGGAAAUGGGAUAGUAUAUCCAUGGAUUUUGUGACGAGUUUGCCUAAUACUCCUAAAGGGAAUGACGCGAUUUGGGUGAUUGUUGAUAGAUUGACGAAGUCGGCUCAUUUUCUUCCGAUUAAUAUCAGUUUUCUUGUUUCUCAGUUGGCAGAGAUUUACAUUCGAGAUAUUGUGAAGUUGCAUGGUGUUCCUUCGAGCAUUGUGUCAUAUAGAGAUCCAAGAUUUACUUCUAGAUUUUUGAAAAGUUUGCAAGAGGCUUUAGGUUCUAAGUUGAGGUUGAGUUCGGCGUAUCAUCCACAGACAGAUGGUCAGUCGGAGAGGACGAUUCAGUCGUUAGAAGAUUUUUUGAGAGUUUGUGUACUUGAGCAAGGAGGAACUUGGGAUAGUCAUCUUCCAUUGAUAGAGUUCACGUACAAUAAUAGUUAUCAUUCUAGUAUUGGAAUGACACCUUAUGAGGCUUUGUAUGGUCAGAGAUGCAGAACUCCGUUGUGUUGGUUUGAGUCAGGUGAAAGAGUGGUCUUAGGACCAGAAAUUGUUCAGCAAACUACUGAAAAGGUUAAGAUGAUUCAAGAAAAGAUGAAAGCAUCGCAGAUUCGACAAAAGAGUUACCAUGAUAAGCGUAGAAAAGAUCUUGAGUUUCAAAAAGGAGACCACGUGUUUUUGAGAGUCACUCCUGUGACUGGUGUUGGACGAGCUUUGAAGUCAAAGAAGUUGACUCCAAGAUUUAUUGGUCCGUAUCAGAUAUUGGAAAGAGUUGGAACGGUGGCGUAUCGAGUGGGAUUACCACCGCACCUUUCGAAUUUGCACGAUGUGUUUCAUGUGUCGCAACUUCGGAAGUAUGUACUGGAUCCAUCCCAUGUGAUCCAAAGCGAUGAUGUGCAAGUUAGAGAUAACCUUACGGUUGAGACUUUACCGGUAAGGAUUGAUGAUCGAAAAGUGAAGACGUUGAGAGGCAAGGAGAUACCUCUUGUGAGAGUCGUUUGGGACGGAGCGACUCGUGAAAACUUAACGUGGGAGCUAGAGAGUAAGAUGCUGGAAUCUUAUCCAGAGUUGUUUGCAUGAGGUAAAUUUUUUAGGAUGAAAAUCUUAUAAGUUGGGGAGAGUUGUAACGCCCUCUUUGAAUUAUUUAAUUAUUUAAUUGAGUCUAGAAGUUAUUUAAAUGAAUUUAUAUUAUAUUUAUAUGAUAUAUGUGUGAUUUAAGAGGUUUAUAUGAUUGAGGUGAUUUUAUGUGAUUUAUGAGGAGUUGUGACUUAUUUUAUUGUUUAAUGAAAUAAGAUUUGAAAAUAAAAUAAAUAUUGAGUUUAGGGGUUGUUUUGAGAUUUUAGAGAGUUUUGGGGGAGAAAGAGAAAUAAGAUAAGAUAGAUGGUGGAGAUAUAAAUAGGGAAACCUAGUUUAGAGAAAAACAUAACGUACGAUCAAUUUUGGAGAAAAGGGAGAAAAAGCCAAGAGAAGAGCAAGAGAGACCUAGAGGCUGCGAUUUUGAUCUAUAAGGUAAGGGUGAGACUAACUUACAAUUCUAUUAAUCUAUAUAAUUCUGAUGAUCAUAUUUAGCAAGUGUAGGAUUGAAUUAGAGAAAUCGAAGAAUUAGGGUUAAUGAUAGAAUUUGAUGAUUAAACAGUGAAAAGUUGUUAGAUUGAUGUAGAAACUAUUCCUAGACCUUUGAUAAUGUAUAAGAUGAAUUAUGGAAUUAAUGUUAGGCUUAAAACCAUGAGAAUUAGUGAUUUUUAUGAAAAACUGCACUUCUGCCCGUAGCGACAUUCUUCGCUCACCUCCCGAGCUAUGAUCCUCGCCACGGCGACUGAUCAUAGCGAGCAGAUGAACUCGCCUAGCGAGCUUGACCAGAGAGCUUGCAAGAUUUCGUGAUUUUGACUUUUGAGUUGAUCCUUAGAUGCUUCUGAGUGCCUGAACAUGUCUAAUAAUGAUUAGGAAAGAAUGUAGGAUGAGAUUGAACCUGGAAAGAUUUUAGAAUGAAACUUUUGGAAGUCUGACCUGAACUCGCCACGGCGAGCAGAGGCUCUCGCCUCACGAGUGACCCAGAAACAGAGUGCUGAUGAGUUAAUUAUUAUCUAUUUUUAUAUGUUAUUUAGUUUAGUUUUAAUUAGAUUUUAUUUUAUUUUAUAUUAGUAUUAUUUCCUUUUUAAGAUAGUUUACUACAAAUUGCAUUUUAUUUUAUUUCAGGAAUGAAUAUUGGAUGGAUUGAGUCUUGGAGCAAAAGAAAGGGACUUGGAGCUGAUUCAGUACGAAAAUACGAAGAUUCGGAGACAAAAAUAUGUCUCCCCCAAAGUCAGAAGCUUGGCACGGCCCGUGCUAGCAUUGGCAUGGCCGUGCCACCCUCGAGAGUCACUUUUGCUGCUUUUACUUAGAUUUUAUGCUACUCUAUUUUAGCCCGCAGUUUCUUGUGGAACAUUCUAGUAAUGUAAUUGCUUAGAUUUUAAGUCGAAUGUAUGUUAUAAAUAGAGUAGUCAGCUAUCACAAAUAUUCAUCUUUUCUUGGAAUUCAAUAAGUGACAAUUGCUUUUUCUAAUAAAAGUUCUUUUCUUUUCCUUACUUUCUUGUCAUUUACUUUUAUGCUUUCUCUCUUCUUCCCCAUGUCUACGAUGAACAUGAGUGAGUAUGUAACGCCCUCUUUGAAUUAUUUGUUUUAUUUAAUUAUUUAAUUGAGUCUAGAAUUUAUUAAGAAGAGAUUAGAAUAUAUUUAUAUGAUUAUGUAAUUUAUUAAGUGGCUUAUUAUAUUAUUUAAUAGAAUAAGAUUUGAAAAUAAAAUAAUAUUGAGUAUAAGGGUUGUUAUGAGAUUUGAGAGAGUUUUGGGGAGUGAUAAGUGCUAGAAAGUUGUAAUUUAAGUGAUAUAUUUUAGGCACUUUUGUUACUUGUUUUGCAAGUUAUUAAGGGAAAAGCCGAGAAAUAAGUGAUUAUUGCCCUUUUACGCUUUAUCUAUCUUACUUCACCCAUUUGUGCAGGAUUCGAACUCAAGACAUCAAGCAAAGAGAAGAAAAUCGAGAAAAGUACAAAAAGGCAGAAAAAGGAGAUCACUCGCCUCCAACUCGCCAUGGCAAGCAGCAAAGGCGAGCAAUUCCAGAAUGCAACAAAGAUCACACGCCACCAACUCGCAAUGGCGAGUAGAAGGCGACCUUACUCGCCAUGGCGAAUGGAAGGACUCGCGAGGCGAGUAAAGGCGGUUUAGCCUCUAAAUGCUGACGUGGCACAAACCCAAUGGGGAAGAAACUUCAACUCGCCAUGGCGAAUGAAUGAGCUCGCGAGGCGAGUUGAUGCAGAGUCAGAAUUGUAUAAAUAGCCCACUCAACCAUUUCAUUGAGGGAGUUUUUUUAGAUAGUUUUUUUACUUAGUUUUUCUCUGAGUUUUUCACUUGGAAUAUUUCUAGAGAGAGAGAUAGGGCUUGUUCUUCAUAGAGUGAGAGUGAUAGAGAGUGGAUUCUUCAUUCUUUGUUGAGAAAUCACAAGUUGUAAAUGAAUCUUUCUCCUUCAAUUCAUUCUUGCAAGGCUUCCAUGACAAUGAGUAGCUAAAUCUCCUUUGUUGGGAUUAGAGGUACUUGAUCUUAGCUUAACAUGUAAUCCUUUGAUUUAUAAAUAUAUGGUUCUAGCAUUUGAAUUGAUAUUGAGGUUAUUCUUGCACUUUAAUCUUUAUCUUUGAUUUAAUUGUGAUUGAGAAAUACUUUUGAAUCUAGGUUUAGAAUAACCAUCUAUCAAAACAUAGUUUCUAGACAUGGAAUCGAUGUUUUGAUAAUCACCUUGAGUAUCCAAACCUAAAGCUUUCUUAUCAUUUAAUAGAUUGAGAAAUCAUCGAUUGAACGAUAAGAUCGACUCUUGAAUCGUUCAAUAGUUUGAGACAUCGACCAUUGAAUGAUACAAUUGAUUUCACAAUAUUGUUUGGACACGAAUGGUGUUGUCGAGGGAUACGUGAUAAUAUCAAAGAAAAGCUAGAAUCCAUGUAUGAUCAUUAGGUUACGUGCGACGCUCGAUCAAGGAACUCUAAUCCUAACAAGUUUUACGCCCUAUUAAUCUCAAUUUUAUCAUUUGCAAUCUAGUUACUAAAACAAACAAUCAACUAUCGUUUAACUUGAAAUGAUAUUUGGUGUCGAACGGUCCGCGAUAUCGCACUAGUCCCUGAGGAGACGAUAUAAAUACUUACAAUUGUUUGAUGCAAAAAUACUACAUCAGGGAGAAAGAGAAAUAAGAUAAAAUAGAAUAAAAGGUUAUAAAUAGGAGAAACCUAGUUUAGAAAAAACAUAACGUACGAUCAAUUUUGGAGAAAAGUGAGAAAAAGCCAAGAGAAGGGAGAAAGACCUAGAAAGCUGCAAUUUUGAGUUAUAAGGUAAGGGUGAGACUAACAUUCAAUCUUAUUAAGUCUGUAAUUCUGAUGAUUAAAUUUAACGAGGGUGGGAUUAGUUUUGGAGGAUUUGAGAAUUAGGGUUAGAGUGAGGAAUUGAUGAAAAUUGUUAGAUUGAUGUAGAAAGAGUAGAUAAUCUGAUGAAUUAAAGUAAUAAGUGGUGUUCAUGUUGUAGAAUAAUCAUAGGUUAAAUUCCUAAUCAGUUUUUGAGUUUGGAUUGAUGAAAAUUGGGAUUUUCGCUUGAAGAGUCGGUGUCUAAAUGUUCUUGCAAAUGAGUGAUUAUGUGAGGUUUUGGAAACCGAUUAUCGGGUGGUUGAAACUGGAAUUUUUCUGUAGAUUGUGAUAGAGCUAUGUGUCAGGAGCGCGUAGUUGAAAACGGCAUCGAAAACGGGUUAACGGUUUGAUUUUUAAGCGUGAAAACGUGAAGGGUGGAAAUCUGAUGUUGUUGAAAUCAUGAGGUGAUUCUAGUGAUCAUGAGGCGAUUUCGACAGAAAAUCUGUAAUUUUAGUAUGUCUGAUGUUGUGGAAAUCAUGAGGCGAUUCUAGUGAUCAUGAGGCGAUUUUGACAGAAAAAUCUGUAAUUUUAGUAUGUUUGAUGCUGUCUUACUAGAAACCUUAAAAAUGCAAUUUUCUUCACUCCAAAUGUUUCCAGACUUCUUCUUAAGUGUAGGAACUUUAUCCUAACCAUCUAGAGAUGUUUUCAGGAAGGAGAUAACCUUGUAUAAAGGGUCUAAUGAGUUCAUGAGUUGGUCUUUGGGAUAGGAAUGGUAGUUGUUUACAAUAUUAAUGAUAAUCUGUGAAGCUGUUUUAAGAUGUGUUGAUGUUGAUUAUGAUGUCAUACUUAUUACUUGAAUUAUGAAUGUAUAUUUGAGAUGUUGUUGACUUGCAUUUGAUAUUAUUAUGUCAUGCUGUUUUUGUAUACUGCCUGUGUUGCUGUUGUUAUUUAACUAAGCUGCAUGAGUCAGUCUAAGUUGAUUAAGAUGAUGAAGUUCCAAAGUAUUG
rnacentral:lncRNA from 1 species